UUAAUUGAAGAGUUUGAUCAUGGCUCAGAUUGAACGCUGGCGGCAGGCCUAACACAUGCAAGUCGGGCGGUAACAGGGAGAAGCUUGCUUCUCCGCUGACGAGCGGCGGACGGGUGAGUAAUGUAUGGGGAUCUGCCUGAUGGCGGGGGAUAACUACUGGAAACGGUAGCUAAUACCGCAUAAUGUCUUCGGACCAAAGCGGGGGACCUUCGGGCCUCGCGCCAUCAGAUGAACCCAUAUGGGAUUAGCUAGUAGGUGAGGUAACGGCUUACCUAGGCGACGAUCCCUAGCUGGUCUGAGAGGAUGAUCAGCCACACUGGGACUGAGACACGGCCCAGACUCCUACGGGAGGCAGCAGUGGGGAAUAUUGCACAAUGGGCGCAAGCCUGAUGCAGCCAUGCCGCGUGUAUGAAGAAGGCCUUCGGGUUGUAAAGUACUUUCAGUCGGGAGGAAGGUGU
rnacentral:rRNA from 1 species